AAGUAUCAAUUUAAAAUUUGAUGAAUAGGGAGUUUUGAUUUAAUUGAAAUAACAUUAAUUAUGUAUGUUUUAGUAUAGUAAUAGAACAAAUUUAUUUAUUUGUAGUGGAGUAGUACUGUGAAGGGAAAUUGAAAAAGUUGAAAAUAAAUUUUUUAGAAAAGUAAAUUAAUAUUGUACCUUGUGUAUCAGGGUUUAUUAAAAUUGGAAUAGAGAUUUAUUUUUCCCGAAUUAAAAAGAGCUAAUUUGUUAUGUUGGUUAGUGUGGUACUAUUAUCAAGAAUAGCAAGUUUGUAAUGAAAUAUUAGUCGGUUUUUAAGAUAUCUGGUUCUUCAAGAAAUGAAUUUAAUUCAGUAUUUAAUAGUA
rnacentral:rRNA from 1 species